rnacentral:tmRNA from 2 species
GGGGGUGUUCCGGAUUCGACCGGAAGCAUGGAUGCCUAGGCGCAUGUCGAGGUGCGGUUCCUCGUUAAUCCGUCGCAAAAAAAUAGUCGCCAACGACGAAAACUUCGCUCUCGCUGCCUAAAAAACAGCGUUAGAGCCCUCAGUGCCGGGUCUUGCUGGUGACAUCCGGCGUAACUGGGGUCAGUUUUUCACCUGCUCGUGUGGAUCCGCCGUCUGCCGGUGAAGCAUUAAAGGAUUUAGCAGACUGGGUAUCAGGUGGCGCGUCAUCCCGCAGCCGGUACUAAGAUUAAAGGCUGACUAAACAUGUAGUGCCAAAGCUGAAGUCUUUUGGGACGUGGGUUCAACUCCCACCACCUCCACCA